rnacentral:misc_RNA from 1 species
CUACUUUCAUCUUGCUUUCUUCUUCCGUCAAGAGAACCAGGUGUAAUUUCACAUACAACAAAAAUGGCUGACUCUUCGCGUGAAGAAAAUGUGUAUUUGGCUAAGCUGGCUGAGCAGGCUGAGCGAUACGAGGAAAUGAUUGAGUUUAUGGAGAAGGUUGCAAAGACAGCAGAUGUUGAGGAGCUGACUGUUGAGGAAAGGAAUCUUCUUUCAGUGGCCUACAAAAAUGUAAUUGGCGCAAGAAGAGCCUCAUGGAGGAUAAUCUCUUCAAUUGAGCAAAAGGAGGAAAGCCGUGGAAAUGAAGACCAUGUCAAUACUAUUAAAGAAUACAGAAGCAAAAUUGAGGCUGAACUUAGCAAGAUUUGUGAUGGGAUUUUGAGCCUCCUUGAGUCCAAUUUAAUACCAUCGGCCUCAACAGCUGAGUCCAAAGUUUUUUACUUGAAGAUGAAAGGUGACUACCAUAGGUACCUGGCUGAGUUUAAAACAGGGACAGAGAGGAAAGAAGCAGCUGAGAACACUUUGUUGGCUUACAAGUCUGCUCAGGAUAUUGCUUUGGCUGAACUGGCUCCUACUCACCCAAUCAGGCUGGGACUUGCCCUUAACUUUUCCGUUUUCUAUUAUGAAAUUCUCAACUCACCUGAUCGUGCUUGUAACCUUGCGAAACAGGCAUUUGAUGAAGCCAUCUCAGAGUUGGAUACACUGGGUGAGGAAUCUUACAAGGACAGUACAUUGAUCAUGCAACUUCUCCGAGACAAUCUCACUCUUUGGACUUCUGACAAUGCGGAUGAUGUUGGGGAUGACAUCAAGGAAGCUUCAAAACCUGAGUCAGGCGAGGGGCAGCAGUGAUGAGAGAGUAGCAUAGUCCUGUAGUCUUUUCUUAUAGGGGAUGUUGGUGGAGAGGAUAUAGCAAGAUCGUGAAUUUAGAUCUCCGAUGGUUGUGUCACUGUUGAAACGGUUCAAUAUAAAACAUGUCUUAGUGUUGGUAAGAAUGUCUGGUUGAGUCGAUUGCGUAGUGCUAUGAUCAUUAGAGUUGAAUUGGUUGCAUUACUUGCUUGUGUUGAUAACUUUUCUCGUAAUUUUUUGUCUCAUUUGCAUGUUUGUGUGAUUGAAUUUGCAUUUGAUUAUCCUGG